rnacentral:lncRNA from 1 species
UCCGUUUCAUCCUAUAUUGACUCUUAAAAUUCAAGAGUAUAUCUAUCUAAAAAUGAGGGUACAUUUUAUAUGGCCUUCCAAAUACCGUUUCGAUCCCUAACAUCACUGAAGAGACAUUUAUUGUCGAAAUCCGGAUCUGGUGUACUAAAAAAAUAUUGACACCGUAUGUUUGUGGCAUAAGAUCGUGGCCACAAGUUAAUUUUAUUUUUUAUUUU